CACGUAGGGCGCAAGCGUUGUCCGGAAUUAUUGGGCGUAAAGAGCUCGUAGGUGGUUUGUUACGUCCGCUGUGAAAUCCUAGGGCUUAACCCUGGGCUUGCAGUGGAUACGGGCAGACUAGAGUGCUGUAGGGGAGACUGGAAUUCCUGGUGUAGCGGUGAAAUGCGCAGAUAUCAGGAGGAACACCGGUGGCGAAGGCGGGUCUCUGGGCAGUAACUGACGCUGAGGAGCGAAAGCGUGGGGAGCGAACAGG
rnacentral:rRNA from 1 species